CCUAAUACAUGCAAGUCGAGCGGUAAGGCUUUCACAGAUUAUUUAACCAGAUAAGUUCUUCGGAAAACUGUUUGCAGCGAUGAUUCCCGGCUAGGGAAUCAGAGUUGAAUAAUGCGUGAAAGUACACGAGCGGCGGACGGCUGAGUAACACGUAGGAACGUACCCCAAAGUGAGGGAUAAGCACCGGAAACGGUGUCUAAUACCGCAUGUGAUCUUCGGAUUAAAGCUUCGGCGCUUUUGGGAACGGCCUGCGCAUGAUUAGCUUGUUGGUGAGGUAAAGCUCACCAAGGCGACGAUCAUUAGCUGGUCUGAGAGGAUGAUCAGCCAGACUGGGACUGAGAACGGCCCAGACUCCUACGGGAGGCAGCAGUAGGGAAUUUUCCACAAUGGACGAAAGUCUGAUGGAGCAACGCCGCGUGCAGGAUGAAGGGUUUCGGCUCGUAAACUGCUUUUAUCUGUGAAGAUUAUGACGGUAGCAGAUGAAUAAGGAUCGGCUAACUCCGUG
rnacentral:rRNA from 1 species